rnacentral:lncRNA from 1 species
GCUUUUUUUCCUCUUUUUUUAAGCUCAUGUUUUUUUCAGUUUAAUCAUUCAACAUUGAGCUCCAUUAUUAUUUUUAUUUGGUUUUUAUAGGAUUCUUAAUCAAUUUUGAAAAUGACAUGGGUUAUCUUCAAAUCUUUUUUAUUGUUCCUUUUCUUUUUGUUAAAUUUAGCUUUUUUUAAAAUAUUUUUUAUUUUUAAAUUAAAUUAAAUUAAUUGAUUAAAUAUAAGUAUGAAAUUCUCACUUCAUGAUAUUUUAUUUGAUUUACUUUUCAUUUUAUUCCUCUAACGGUGCAUGCGGUUUUCUUGUGUUAUUAUGCAGCCUUUUGCUAUGGUGUUAAAACCAUAUUGGUGAGCUUUUUUUGGUGGUAGGUUGGUGUUAACGAUAUAAUGACAAUGUAUCUUUAACAAUUUUUUUUUCUCCUCUGGAGUAUGACAUUGUGAGCUCGUUUUUUAUUGUUAAUUAUUGCUAAAUUUUUCCCCUUAUUUAUUAUCAAUGUUUUUUAAUUAUAUUAUUAAAUUAAUUAAAUUUACUAGACUAGUAGGAGAAUGUGUCUCGGUUCCUUUUUCUUAUUUAAAAACACGUAUCAUCUUUUUUUUUUUUCAAGAAAAAUUUAACUUGAUCAACAAUAUAUCAAGCAAACUAAUCUAGUUUGAGCUAUAUUUCAUAUCAGCUAGAUAAUUAUUAUUAUUAUUAUUAUUAUUAUUUUGCAACAACUCCCAUGUAAACGAAGAUUACCAAAUAUAUGGCGAAAUUAAUUCCCUCCCUUUACAAAAUAAAAAUAAAAUAAAAAGAGACCAUCCAGGCAACCGGGACCCAGACAAGCCCAGAUUUAAGUCAAGACCAAGUUCUAUAAUCUAUAUUUAUCCAUUCAAAUCAAGACAUGAUCCAUAGUUUUAACCAUCUAUGUGUUUUCCUCAAGUUUUUUACCCCAACAUAAUGAUUCGUCAUUGCCAUGACUGGAACGAGAGUCUAGUUGAAUUACGAGAUCAUCUCCAAAUCCAAGACAAAAUGAGAAAAAAGAGGAAAUCCAACCCAACACAAAAAAAAAAAAAAAAAAAAACAAAAGCAAAUUUCAUUUAACACACUUGAAGGAAUCUUUUCUUCCCAGGACAGAUAAGCAAAAGCAACACUACAUGCAAGUGAAAAAAAAAAAGUUGAGCAUAAAUUUGUAAUGAUGAUUAUAUUAUUAUUCCUGUAGGAGCAGUAAUAUACAUCUUUUAGAAAACGUUAACAUGGGUAUUUGCUUGUUGGUUCUUUUAAUAUCCGAGAAUCUUGUGGGCAAAAAGUCAUACACACAUUUAUUUUUGUUUUUCUUGAUGAUUUUGAAAAGUUAUCCAAUCAAAUGUGAGACGAAAUAAACACACCCCCUUUUAUUUAUUUCUUUCUAGACAUUUUCUUUUGUGAGUUUUGGUUUUUGACUUGAUUUGGUUUAGGAAAACAGUAGUUUAUAAACUGACACUUUGUUUUUUUGAAAAAAAGAAAGAAAAUGGUGAUUUUGUUUGAAUUUUAAUGAAAGCAUUGAUUUAAUGAUUUCCUAUUCUGAUUUACUUAUUGGGAUUUAUUUUUUAUUUUUAUUUUGUUGUUUCGGUACGUGAGGCAGUCAAAGAGAAGAUUUUUAUUAGAGAUAGGGAAAAAAAGAUGUCCUUUCAGGUUUUCGGGAGAGAUUAUUUCUUUAAUAUUACCAUCUAGGGUUUCUUAACUUUACUCUCUCUUUGGUUUAUGUUGUUUUCGAUUCUCUUCCACUGCUGGGUUUUUUUACUCUUCUAAUUCCUCAAUUUUGUUCAUUUGGGUUGCUUGAUUUCUUGUUUUUCUCAUCCGAGUCAUUGAGUUUUCUUCAAUUUGGAGUGUUUUUAGGUCUGGUCUUGAGCGCUUCGCACCAAAGUUUGGCUUUUGGUGAUGUGUGUUAAGGUGGGAUCCAUAGAUUUUUAGCAAAAUUUAGGUUUUUGUUAUUUGAUUUGAUUGUGUAGAAGUUUUCUAGGUUAAAGGAAGCAUUGGUGUAAUUGCUCCUGCUACUGGGGAAAGUGAGUUAGUUGUCAAUUUUUUCAAACAUAUAUUGAGGGAUCUUGGCAUGUAUGCAUGAUGUUUCAUGCUCAAGGUCCUUUAAGGAAUCAUUGUACUCUCCUUGCUGUUCUUUGUGGUAAAAGUGGUGAUAAUAAGCAGAAGCAACCUCUCUCUGAUGAUAAACCUAGAUUUCCUUUUCCGGAACUUGCUUCAGCUGGGCGGCUGGAGGCAUGUUUUUGAAUUUUUUUGGCUAUAAAUUUGAAUUCAUGGUUUUAAUGGGUUUUCUGAGUUUUAGUUUAAAUUGAUGUUUGUUAUCGUUUAUGUUUGAGUGCAGGUUCAGGUACUGACUAAUCCGAGCACUGAUGAGUUCCAGCGUGUGCUUCAUUCAUUGGAGCCCAGUAUCGUGUAUUUUCAAGGUGAGCAGAUUGAAGAUAGUGAAGAAAUUGGACCUUUAAGAUGGGGAGAUAUUGACUUGUCCACCCCAGAAUCCUUAUGUGGACUAUUUGGUUCCACAUUGCCUCCCACGGUGAGUGAUGGUCCUCAAGAUUGAAUAAUACUCGUUGCUCCUUGUUUAUCAUUUCAGUGACAUGGAACUCAUUGUUUGUCUUAAAUUCUUGUCAGAUUGUUCUUGUGUAGUUUGCAACGCUAAUCAUAGCAUUUCACUGAAUCUACCUUCAAAUGUUUGUACAGGUUUAUUUAGAGAUCCCCAAUGGUGAAAAGUUGGCAGAGGCACUUCACUCCAAGGUUAUAUUAAUCCUUAAUAGUUCUGUAAUUUUUUAAGUUAUUGAUUUUAUUUUUAGGUUGGGGAAAGAUUAUUUGAUGGAGUUACUGGUUAAGCUAAUCAUAAAUGUUUAAAGAGAUGGUGCAUGCAAGUUGGAGACCUGUAUAUAGAGACCUGUAUAUAUAUAUAUAUAUGCAUGCUUUAUCUAACUUCUUCUCAUGAAUCAUUGUCGAACCCGUGUUUUCAUGUGGCAGGGAGUUCCAUAUGUUAUAUAUUGGAAAAGCAUGUUUUCAUGUUAUGCUGUUUCUCACUUUCGUCAAGCAUUGUUGUCAGUGGUUGUCAGUGGUUCAAAGGUAUGAUUUUCUACUUUUACAUCAAGAUUAACAAUUUGCAGUAACCUUUUCUAUUAUGUGUGGUUCUAUAACCUCCUUGUUUUGAUAGUUCUAUAUAAUAUGCAGUCUAGUAGUUAUUGUUCAUGGAUCCAUGUUUUGAAUCAAUGACUAAAUUUGUAACUGUGGAAGUAUUUGUUUGGGUGCGGAUUAUUUUCCUGUGAUGAGAUUGUGGACCAGAUGUUGAGCUUUACAUAUAGAUAAUUUAUUGGGCUGAAUUAUUUUUCUUUGGCAGUGUAGCGCAACAUGCUCUUUUUUUUGUGAAAUUAAAUAAAUAAAUGGAUGUCAUAUCCUCUGUUGUGCUCUCUUGUGCAUUGCAGUUCUUGCAGCCAUACAUGUGAUGCUUUCCAACUCGCUUAUGCAUCUUUUAGGCUCUACUGUGGACGAAACAACAAUACCCUAGCUUCCAAUGGCCAGAAAGUUGGUGGUAAACCUGGACCACAGUUACUCGGUGAUCCACCAAAGUUUGAUAUUACUCUGCCCGAGGCAGAUGAUCAGGGUGAAGAAAGCUCUUCUGGGGCUCUUCCUGCUAUAAAAAUAUAUGAUGAUGAUGUGACCAUGAGGUUUCUUGUUUGUGGACUUUCAUGCACAUUGGUAUGUCUGACUGACAUAAUUCUGAAUAUAUUUUCGAUUGUUGCUUGGUUGAAUAUAUUAAUGGUAGCAUUCAAUGGGCAUGGAUUGAUUACAAUCUUUACUCUCUUCAGGAUGCAUGUUUGUUGGAAUCAUUGGAGGAUGGGCUUAAUGCUCUCUUGAACAUCGAAGUGAGUUCAUUGCCAGCUUUACCACUUAUUUCUGGAGUUCCUCAACUCCUAAUCAUUAAGCAUCCCUUGGGUAAAUUUUGUGAAAUCACGAAGAUGGCAAGGAUAUUAUCUUUGAUAUCACUACUUCCAUUUUUAUUUUGCUCUCCAUAAGCUCACCUUUUAGUCCUCAGCUGAACAAUCCUUGGCAUUCAUGGAAUUUUCAUGUUUAAAUAUAUGAGGUGCAGUAGAUCCAAUACUUCUUCACUCAGUCCACAUAGAAUUGAAAAGUCAACGUCACUAAAUUAGAAGUGCUAAAUGUUUUAGGCUUUAGCCAGUAUGUUUAUGUCUCCUGCACUAGGGAUGAGAUAAAAAAAAUAUUCUUGACGGAAGAGUACAAGUACGUUGGUUGGGUAGCCAUUCUAUUGUUGAGUAAGAAAUUGUAACAAGGUUUGUUGUAAUUUAUGUUCCAGCAAUUGUCAUAAUGAAAAUAUGCUUUUAUGCGUUCUAACUAUACUAAGCUGUGUUUGGUAAUGUGUUUGCAUUUUGUUUGAAAGUGCCUCUUAAAGUAUGUUUGGUCUGAAAAAGCAUCAAAUUUGAUGCCUUUUCAGUUGCUUUUGAAUGGUUUUAAUAUGCCGAUGUCAAAAACAUUAACAAGUACGUAUUUAAGUAUCAAAUUAAUGCCUUUCCAGUCUAAACACACUUUUGCAGAAGCACCUGCAUGGCAUUACCAAAUGCAUACUUAAAUGCUAUCACCACUUCACAUUUCUUCAUUUGAAUCUAUCAUCUUUUUUUUAUUCAGCAGAUUGUUAUUUAUUUAUUAUUUUGCAAUGGUUUGCAUGCAGAUUCGUGGGAGUAAACUUCAUAACCGGACAAGGUACUUAAUGAAUCUGAGCCCUGUUUCUUGCUUCCUGCUCCUUUAUUUAUAGUGCUGCAGACACAUUUUGUUUAUGUACAUACAUAAAUGUGUGGACGUGCAGACGCACAGUUUAAAGCUUAGUGCAACUUUAGUUGUGCUUUCUUCGAAAUAGUUAUUAUGAUCAUCAUAAUUAAAUGCCUUUUGGUCUCACAGCAUUCUGUUUUUAUUAGCUCACAAAUCUCACCAUUAUUUGCAGUGCUCCUCCACCUCCUCUUCAGGCAGGGACAUUUUCUCGUGGUGUGGUGACAAUGCGAUGUGAUUUAUCAACCUGCAGUUCCGCUCACAUAUCACUUUUAGUGUCUGGCAGUGCACAAACUUGUUUUAAUGAUCAGGCAAGGAUAAAAUUUCUCUGCAAGGGUUGAUUUUGUGCUUGCUUGCUUGCCACUUUUUUCUUACAUGCAUCUGACAAUUUCUGGUCUCUUCUUUUUGGUUGGGGGGGGGGGGGGUGUUGUCUCAGCUUUUGGAGAAUCAUAUUAAAAAUGAGCUUAUUGAGAACAGUCAGCUAGUCCAUGCAUUGACUAGCUUUGAGGAAAGCAAAUCACCUUCAUCUGAGCCACGAAAGUCUGCUUCCAUAGCCUGUGGGGCAAGUGUUUUUGAAGUUUCCAUGAAGGUUCCUACAUGGGCAUCACAGGUAAUGUUGUCUCACAUCCUUCCUAUAUAUUCAUAUUCUAAAAAAAAAAAAAAAAAAAAGUCAAAUUUCUUUUGUAGAUAUUUCAAUUGAUGGAUGGGGGGAAGAAGUUGCAUUAAUUCAUGGAUGAGUGCUUGUAAGAUAACUGAUUAUAUAUAUGUAUGUAUGUGUUAUCUCCUCUUUCUUCUCUAAUAGCUGUUUGGAGUAAAGAUUAGAAAUAAAGUUGUCAUAUAGUUUUGUAACAAUAAGCUGUUGGUUAGAGCAACUAAUGAAUAUUUAAAUGAAAGUCUAAUGAUUAUAAUUUGUUAUACAAAUUUUUGUAGAAGUCUUUUUUCUUAGAUACACUUAAUAAAUAUGGAAGUAUUACCCCACGCCCAUUCUAUAUUUUCUUCUUGGUUGAUAAUAUUAGGCCCAAAUCAACCAAUGUGAGUUCUGUGAGUUCUCAUAGCCAUGUCUUGUGGAAUGCCAUCACAGGUUUUGCGGCAGCUGGCCCCAGAUGUAUCCUACCGCAGCUUAGUAAUGCUAGGAAUUGCCAGCAUUCAAGGACUAUCAGUUGCUUCUUUUGAAAAAGAUGAUGCUGAUCGCCUCCUUUUCUUCUGUUCAGAGCAGGGCAAAGAGUCCCAUCCACUCAACACUUUUCUCACUAGGCCUCCUACCUGGUUGAUUCCUCCUGCACCUUGUCGAAAAAGAUCCGAGCCAACCCGAGAAACUAAACCCUUAACUUCUGGUCGUGGAGGUGAAAAUGGAGGAAAUGUUAAACACAAGUUUCAUGUCGCUGCAAUGAGACCAAUUCCCCACACUCAUCGUCAUAAAAUGCUACCAUUUUCUGGAUUUUUUGAUGCUGAAAGAUAUGAUGGAGAACAAGCAAAGCCUAGCUUGCCACCUCCGCCACCAAAGCAUAGUGUUGUCGGACCUGCUCCUGUCACACAUCGAAAAUCAUUGUCAAGCUCUUAUCAGGCGCAGCAGAUUAUUUCUCUAAAUCCACUGCCUUUGAAGAAACAUGGAUGUGGUAGAUCUCCAAUACAAGUUUGCUCUGAGGUAGAAUUCAUUUUUUUAAUUCACGAAUUGUGUUCUUUCUUUUCAUGUACAAUGCUUCUAUGCAUUUAUAUUCUUAGGAAUGAUUAAAUUUUUAUUUUCAGUUGUGGGUUGAGGGUUACUUAUCUAGUCCUAUGUUUCUUGAGUUUUAUAACUUAGCCAUCUAUGAAAGUUUUGAUGUGUAAUAAGUUUGAGGUUAUUUGUUUCUGAGUUUUAUGCCUCAAGACAUGUACGAGUCCUGGGGAUUUCAAUGGGUGGUUAGUUCAAGUACUGUCUUACACUGUUUUGUAAUUUCUCUACUUUUCUUUUUCUUCCUUUUUCAAAAAAUAAAAAUAAAAAUACUUCUAUGAUGUUUGGUGACUAUGGGAUUUGAGGUCUUGUUUGAAGUAUAUGAUUACUUAGCUAGGUUUUUUAGAUUCAACAUUUGGGUAUAUGGAACCAAACAGGCACCUGACCAUCAUUCUGUGCUAUUACAUUUACACCAUAGCCAUUCCGAUAAUCUCAUGCAAUCAUGUAAUACGACCACAAUUGAUGCUAACGUGUUUAUCCCCUUGGAUCCAAGAGUUGGAUAUUGUAUAACCCUGUUAUAUUAAAUGGUUUAUAUACAAAAUUUUGAUAUUAUCAGGUUUUUUUUUUAUAUAUUUUUCCCCAAUGGUUUAUUUUCUGGCAGGAGGAAUUCUUGAGGGAUGUAAUGCAGUUUUUGAUUCUUCGUGGUCAUUCUCGUCUAGUUCCUCAAGGUGGACUGGCAGAGUUUCCUGAUGCCAUUCUUAAUGCAAAACGCCUUGACCUUUUUAACUUGUAUAGAGAGGUGAGUUUUUGUAAUAUGCUUAGUAUGAUUCAAAUCUUCAAAGGUUUUAGCACUGAAAACUGAGAAAUAUUGGGUACUCAGGUGGUUUCAAGAGGAGGUUUUCAUGUUGGGAAUGGCAUCAACUGGAAAGGACAAGUAUUCUCAAAGAUGCGCAAUCAUACUUUGACUAAUAGAAUGACUGUAAGUUACGAACCUCUAAUUCUUCUUAUUUUUGUUUGUGGUUUUUGAGAUGUCCUAUGGUGGCUGAGAGCUUUACAGUUGGUCACAAUAUUGGAGAGCUGGACCUGAAUUGCAUAUACCGACUAUGCUAACUUUCUUACAGCCAAGGAGUGCAGAAUCACAUUCUUUUCCUGUUGAAAUUUGGAACCUUUGGGAUGCAUAAAAUAUGAUCCAUCUCAAAUAUAUGGUGCCUUUUGCUGUUAUUUGCAGUAGAUUUUAACAUAAUUUAACUGCUCAUUCAAUGUUUUCUGUCUGAUGUUUCAAGUUUUUGUUACAUUUUCUUGCUCUUUAGGCUAAACUUCUUGAUUUUGUUCUGGCAACAUGCUUUGUUGCUUCCCCCAGCCUUCUUACCACUGUCUUAUAAUUUAUUUUCCUUGAUAACUAAAAUAACUUAAAAUAGUACUAAACAAUCAGUAUCAGUGAGUUCGACUGGUAUGGUUCUUUUCUCUAUUCUUAAAUAAAAGUAUUUCAUUCACAAUAAAUAAAUAAAAGUGUUUCUGAUCUUAUCUAUUGACCCACAUUUUCCACACUGCAGGUUUUUUAUUCAGCCCUGUUUUAAAAUUUUCUGGAUAUUCUUGUCUGAUAUAUUCUUAUCAGCUCCCUUUUCAUUAUCAUCUACUUUUCCAUCGGUUGUAAAAGUUUGCCUUGAUCAAUUUUUUUCCCCUAGACUUGUGCUCCAAUAAAUUGAAAUCAUCUUAAUGAAUGAUUUCAUCAUAAUUGGUAUACUAGUUAGAAUAGUAAUUUGAGUUAGAUGACUAGCGAGUAAACAAGCUGAGUUUAUGAAAUGGAGGGUCAACAAUGCUGUGCCAUGCAGACCGCAUUAUUUUUGGUACCUGCUGAGUCAGCUUUUAUUAUAAAAUCUCUUCAUGUUUAUAAUUUUUAGGGGUCAAAAUAACAUGUGCAUGCUUCACAUCAUGUUAUUUUGUGGAUGGCCAAAUCAGAAUGUCUAUAAUACUGAUGGGAGUGGGCUUUUGCCGCAUAAUUUCUAGCAAAUAAUAGACUUCAGCUGAAAGUUUCUCUGGUGGAUCCAUAAAUUUAUUCUGUGCAUGGCGAUUUCUUCUUGCUUUCCACGAAUCAUGACUCCUGCUUGGCAAGAUAUUGAACUGCUUAUUGUGUGUACAAGUUUGGAGUAACUUACUGUUUUUGCUCCACGCAUAUUAGGGUGUUGGCAAUACACUAAAAAGGCACUAUGAAACUUACCUUUUGGAAUAUGAAUUGGCCCAUGACGAUGUAGAUGGAGAAUGCUGCCUGUUGUGUCACAGGUCUCUCUCUCUCCCCGCCUCUCCUUCUCCCUCUCCCUUUUUGUUUGUGUGCGCGCACUAGAAAAUACACUGUACUGACACUUGGGUUAUCAUAUUCACAGUAGCGCAGCUGGUGAUUGGGUUAACUGUGGAAUAUGUGGCGAGUGGGCUCACUUUGGCUGUGACAGGAGGCAGGGACUUGGUGCCUUUAAGGUGUGCUUUUGAUCAAGCUUCUUUAAUGAUUAGACAUCUCUAAAGAUAAAACACUUGUUUCAAAUCUUUUACCUCAAGCAGAUAAAAAAUGGUUGCUUGAAACUAAGGCUAUGAUUGAUCUUUUCUUUUAGUUAGUACUUUUAAGUUACUAUUGGUCCAUUGUGACUUAGGUUGUGCUGAACUUAGUCUUGUUGUAGAGUGCAAGGGAUAACUAACGUUAUAUAUGGAUAUAUCUUUACCUGUUGAGCAUAUGGUCAUCAGUCGAGAAUGAACCAGUGGUGUAAAAAAAACAAAAAAAAACCCAGUUUUCUUCCUUUAGAUUGGUCAAAUAGCUGUGAGGAUUUGCUACUUCUGACUUCAAUCUCUUGUUACGUUGUCAACUCUCUUUUUUCUGUCUGCAUGAACUGCAAAUUGUCAAGGCAUGAGUGGGAUCUUAUUCGUUGCUUGAAUUUUUUCUGGUGAAUGACAGGACUAUGCUAAAACAGACGGGCUGGAGUAUAUUUGCCCCAACUGCAGCAUUGCAAAUUUCAAGAAAAAAUCACAGAAAACUACAAAUGGAUAUUAGCAAGCUGGUCUCAAGGGGUCCAUUUCCUUUCUUCCCCAACAUAAAUGCAUAAGAUAAAGAGUAGUAGGAAUGUAAUUAUUGUAUCGUAUCUCGCUUCAUAUAGAUUAAGCAAUUAAGAAGCCCCCCACCCGUCACGUGCUGUGGAAAGCCAAUUUCGACAUGGUAAUUGUAGAAUAUACUAUAUUUCAUGAAAUCUAAUUUAAUCAGGUAGUUUUGUCAAGUAUUUAACAGAAUGUACGAAAAUAGGUGAGUUAGAGAUCUUCUCUUUGGGUCGUUCUUUCCCAGCAAUGGUUUAAUCCUCAUUAUGCAAAUCAUUUGUGAUUGUGUCCCCCCAGCUAUCAACCUGCGGAGUCUUGAGUGCUCGGCAUGUUUUGGAAUUCUGAUCAACGCUUGAAUGAUGGAUCAGCAGACAGCUAGAAUAGCUGUUUGGUUUCUUAGACCUUUCUUGGGCACGGGGCUUUGAUAUUGUAGUGAAUGUUCUUGUUUUUUUUUAGCUGCUACUCAUUCAAUGACUAGCAUGAUUAGGUCUCAAAUCACUAGUGUGAUCCGAGUAAUUAACCAGCUACAUCCCCUGCUAAUUGGAUUUCGUAGAAUCUUCUUCUUUUUGGUCAAGCCAUGCAAGUUCAGGGACCGAAGAAACUCAUGAUAAGCUGAUUCUCGAGUCUUGACAGGUCUGGUGGCGAAUGCAGUCACUCCUGUAUCCUAGACAUGGCACGUGCACAUAGAAUAUUUGAAUUACGCAUAGAUGGUAACUCCCAGAAUCACUCUUCAGAUCUUAACCUGGUCCAUAUAUAUGGUCAGCAAGUUGAAACAAAUUACUUAAUCAAAGUAAAUCUGCAUGUUCUAAAUAUUCUCGACGGAUAAAAACAGUAUCGGCCUAUAUGCAUGCUUGUAUAUGUACAUUCUCAUAAAAACGUACAGUCGAUCUUCAAACAAGAAAGGACGAUGAAAGAGAGACAAGUUCUAAAAGUUUAAAAGUUUAAGUAGCUCUAGAUUCCAAGAUUAUCUGCCUCAGCUUGAAAAAUGAAACCCCAUCUAAAAUAAUGAAAUUACAUCUUUACUUUCCGUGCUCUAGAAAUGCAUCAAGUGUUCUUCAGCACUUCUUGCUUGACAACCUCAUUGCAGCCAUUGACAAUCAUGCCUUUGCUGCUAAGUGUACCGGUUGCAAUAUUGUUAUCAUUGGACAUUGGAUGGGUGUCAAUGCCAGUUAUGCUGCUGCUGCUGCUAACAAGACCACUGGUGUAGCCAUUGUUCUUCCUCUCCUCAGAAGUUGUACCUGAUAACGAUGCCUUAACACUGGAUAUGGCAGCAGCAAGAGCAAUGGGCAUGAGGCAGAGACCUUUGCUUUGAAGAUAUUGCAUGGCCAUGGUCACAUCGGAUUCCAGUAGCUUAAGUACUUCUUGCUCAAAGGCAAUCUGAUCAGCAGAUGGAGAAAUAUCAAUUCCUAGACCAGCUGAUGGAGAGAGCGACAAACUAUUAUGACCCUGAAGAAGACAAACGACAAACUGUCAGAAUCCUUGUAAAAUAAUGCAUCAACAUGCUCCCUAAAAUGAUCAGAUUCAUCCUCAUUAUAGAAGAUAUUAUUGUUCAAAUAUUGAGGUGUCAGCUAUGAUGUCCCUUGUUACAAUCCCCCCCCCCCCCCCCCCGCGCGCGGUGAUAAACACAGAUUACUAAGAAUAUUCCAUGAACUGAUAACCUAUCAUAAUCCUAUGAUUACACAAUGCAGGGCCAGAACAUAUUCAAUGAUGUCGUUAAUAACACCGGUCAAUGCCCUCGAGUAGGUUUACCUACUAGAGAAUCAUGUAAAAGAGAUACUUUAAGAAUCAUAAUCUUAGAUGUCUUCCUCACAUUCUGUCUCCAUCCAUUGUAGUGACUUCAACUUGGUAACAAUUAGGUGGUUUGAUGAUUUUUUCAGCUAGGCUGACUAUUUUCAUGCUCAUGUCCAUGGACACAGGGACACCGAUAGCUAAUUUCAAAAUCAUAAAAAGAAGAGAACAUGUAAGUUGCAUGUUUAUCAUAAAAGUCGAAGGGCAUAGAACCUCAGGUUGACCAUCUGUGAGGAGAGGAAUGACUGCUCCGGCUGCCCCUAACCUGCUCAUGCUUAGCACCUGGAUAUUCAUGCAACAAUGAGAAAUAGCACUUCAAUCAGUAAUUGGUAUAAUGGCUUAUCCAGAGUUUCUCACUUCCUCUAAUUUCAUGACAACUGUUGACCAAUACAAAGAAAAUGGAAAUUACUGACCAAUACAACAAAAAAUGAAGGCAACUUGAUAUGGUGAAACAAGUAAUAUUUGAAAACAGAAAAUCAAAUUCAAACAAGUCUGAUUAGAAGUGUUUCUACAGGAUAUUUGCAACAACUAGACAUUAUCAUACCUUGACUUGGAGCUGAAGAAAUUUGACAUACUCUAUGAUCUCAUCAAGCAUAGAUGCCUUGUCAACCUACAAAUCAUAAAUGAAUUCAGUCCAUUGUUAGAGCUGGCCUGCAAUUCACUAUUGCACAAUUAGCUGGUAUGAAAGUUAUGUGUGUUUGUGAGUGUGGGACUAGAAAGUAAUGUAAAGGUGAAGUCCAGGUCAGUUACUUUUGCCUUCCCAUCUCCAUUAAUGACAGGCAGAACUAUUAAAAACUACAAAUUUCUUGUGAAGAAAAACCACUUCAGUUCCUGGGAAAAGCAUGUCAUAUUGUCUCAACUAAGAAAAGGCUCCAUGGUCGGGAUGUUAAAUCUGAUGUCAAGUAUUAAUAACAAGUGCAAGCACAACUGUGAUCCUAGGGGUGCUAGUUGCAGGCACAAUUGACUCUACAUCAUUUGAAAAGGCAAGUUGUAGUCCCAUUUCCUUCUUUCAGGCAGAAUUAAUUAGAAAACCAUCAACUAUAACUGUGCUAACAGAGGUGCUUCCUUUACCAGUACCAGACUGAUUUGAAGCUGACUCUUCAGAAAAGGCGACUAUCUAAAGUUUCAAUUCGAGAACAUGAUGUUAAUUGAGCUUGUUAGAGCUGCAUUUACUGGCUGCAUCUAUCAAAUUCUUUUUUCCAACUUUAUCUUUUUAUGCAUACAAAUAUAUACUGGAAUCAUAAACAUCUACCCAUAUAAUUUGUUGUUAAAAGCACCUGGUUAUGUACUAAUUAAAAAACUAACACAAACCAUUUGUCACAGAAUAUUUAAUGACAAUAGCAGAACCAAAAGAAGCUGACCUUAUUGGAAUUAGGUACAAGUUCUUGCAGAUUCUUCAUCCUUUCAGCAAUUUUCUCUCUUCGAAGCUGCAGUUAGACAUUUUAGAAAAACUAAGGAAUAAUUAUGUUCACAAAACUUCCUGAAAAAUUCAAAAUCUUUUAGCACCAUCAACUUGAAAGUCUACUCAUGAAGAAAUUUAGCUUGCAAUAGUUAUAUGAUAAUUAUAACUAACCCUUUCAGCUAUACUAUGUGGGUCAGUGGCAUGGCCACGUCGUGCUCUUACACGAGUUUUUCCAGUUCCAUUGCAGCCUUCUACUGGAGCAGCUGAUGUAGUCUGCAAUUCAAAAUCCAGGUGGUUUGUACACAUAACACUCAAUAUGUUACUUCAGUCAUUUCUGGCAGUUGAUGAGAGCUCUCUGACCAAUCAUAUAAAUUGAGAAGUGCAAAAAUCUUGAAUAAACACGAAAGAAAUCUGAAACUAUGGCAAGAACCUGAGGCAUAGAUGAUAAUUGAUUCAUUGACAUGUUUACAUUGGGCUCAGCUAUGCCAGAUGAGAAAGGACAACUUUGCAAAUCUUCUUUCCCCUACAAUUACGAGUAAGAACAAUCAAUCAAAAGGAACCUUUUGACUUAUACAGAACAAUCAACUAGUAAAUCCCCCCUAAACUCGAAGAAUCAAUUUAAAUGAGGUUGCAACUAGACAAGGAGAGUCCACCAUCUUUUGCAGCCAAUUUUUUAUAAUUCUAUAAUCUGAAAUGUAAUCAGCAAUGAUCAAGAUAGUUAUACCUCUGUAGUAGGUGAUGCAGAUAACUUAUCAAGUCGGAGAAUUUCAUCCAUGCCCAUGUAUCCCUUCCCCAUAAUAUGCAUAUCAUCAUCCAAGUUCCCUCCUCGAAGACCAGAUCCCUCUAUUCUGUCUUGUCCCAUCAAAGGAGGGAGAGAAGAAACACCCUCAUAAGAUUGUGAAGGCCACAAUUGUGGGAUUGAUGAUAAGUUUUGCAGAUUUUUUAAGGAUCUCAGGUACUCAGAUUGUUCCCUUCCAUUGCAUCCAGCAUUGCUUGCCUCAGAAAAAGAGAGAUACGAUGUCAAAUCACCAACUAUUGGAAGCUGAUUUGGAUAGUUCAGAGAACUCAGGGUAGGAAGAAUUCCAUUGCAUUGCAGGCCUGUGUUUCCAAAUUUUAAGUUUCCACGUGCCAUUCCAUCAGGGGAGGGGUUUCCAUUGCAAUUCUGGCAAUCAUUUUGCAAUCGAGCUUGUUCAGAAAUUAAGACUUUAUCAACAGCAUAAUCUGACUCACUGCCAAGAACUACAGAUGAAGUGUCUUGAGUGGCCAAGGACUCCACACUUUGAUUUGAACUUAUCAUGCUUACAGGUGAAUUUUUUUUGUCGUCUUGAUAUAAUUCAAGAGAAGUAGGGAGGAAGGCAUUUGGUUGAUUUGGUUCACUACAGACCCAAGAUGAACUUUCCUUUACAUCUCCAUCCACCAAUGAUGAGGAAGAGAUCAAAUGAUUGAGAUACUCAUCCAUCAUCAAUCGCUAUACAGUGAUUAGUAUAUUUUGACAGCACUCAUAUGUGGCAGAUGCUAGGCAGGUUUACGUAUCAGUUCCUGUGAAUAUAAGAACUCUUGUUAGAUUCUUACAUUGGUGACGAGUAUGCACAAGAAACAACUAUUGCAUGGACAGACAUAUCAUAUAGGCAGUUAGUUUCAAUGUGACGUACAAAUGCAGACAAGCAUGCAUCCAUAUGAUAUACACCAGCUAUUCUGUAUCCUAGGCAUAACAUGUAAAAUACUGUGCCCUUUGUGGCAUAGAAAAAGAAGUCAGAACAUUGUCAAGCAGCAGGUACAAAUGCAGGUUCAAAACCCAGGGCAUGUCCAUUUCCUUGAAGAAGCUAUUAAUGGUUAUGAAAUUCUAGUUAGAUUAAAAAUAAAAAGUGAAUUCCCUUUUUUUUAAUCAAGGGCUAUCAGCUUAUCAAAUGGGCAAACAAUGUCUUGGCAAUACCGCACCUAAACCAGUACACUACGUUGACCACCCUGCUAUCUGGCCCACAAAGAUCUAGAAGUGGCAACCACAAAAGGAACCAAGAGCUUGCUCACGGCUUGAAACUGGGCAAUGCAUUUGAAGUGCCCGUGCUAAGGUGUACAGGGAAGACACAACGUCCAGAACAAGAAAUUGAUGGAAGGAUGUGGGUAAUAGACAUGUGAAUAAUAACUAUUAGGCGAUACAAUUUCUAGAGCAAUGGAGCGUUACGUAAGCUUAAUACAGCAUGGUUUUGCGGUAAUUGUAACGUAUCAACAAUUUAUAGAGCAAUGAAAAUGCUUCACACUGCUAAGAAAUAGUAUGCGCCUGAAUAAUGAAAUACAUCAUUCAAAUAACAACGAGUUUCAUCCUUUAAGUGCUAUAACAACUACAAUCAGGGUAUCUAGAAAAGAAAGCAAAUAAACUCGACUUGUUUUAAAAGUUGAGGAAUCACAGUUGAUAUUUACGAGAUUGAGCAUUAUAAAUGCAAAACUAGAAAGAAGAGAAAAAUCUUGAAAUAAUUGGUCCGGAACAUACUCGAGCAACUCACAAACAAGAUUGAACCACUCUUUUGAACUGCAAAUUCUAAUUGUGCUUUGACAAGUAGUACAUUUCAAGAUCAUUAAGAAGGUAAGAUUUCUAAAGAAUCAACAAAAAUAACUCCACUUUGACAAGUAGUGCAUUCCAUCCCGGAAAUUACAUAGAAGUAAGAAUUUAUCAUCGUAUUUUGUUUCAACUAAAUUCUUCAAAACUUGAUCCUUUUUCCCCUAAACCAAAAGACAAAACUCAGAUCAAUUACCCCGCAAAAGAAUUUCAAUAGAAAGCAUCAAAUCACCAUAAUCCAUUCCAGCUUAGCCACAAUUAAAAACUAUAUAAAAUAAAAUCCAAAACCGUGAUUGACCCUUUGUAUAAAACAUCACAGAGCUCCAAAUCAGCUAGAUUAUUCUUCAACAGACCAAAAAAAAAAAAAAAACAUUUCCAUGGACCCAGUUCAUGCAAAAAGAAACCCAUGAUUAAUCAAACCUCAAAAAGUAGGUCUACUACAAAUACUUUAUAUGACACUCGUAAGUAACCAUGAUCAACAUGCUUGCACAAAAUCAACUGCCACAUUGAAGUUACAAAAUCAAACAAAUUUAGAAAGAUAGAGAAGCUUAAAAUCUUACAAGGAAAAUCCACCAGUAAUGUUUUAGUGUGUCUUUCUCUCACCAUCAGCAUCCACAGAGAAAGAGAGAGAAAUAAGAGAGCUUAGAACAACAAAAGUAGUUUAGCUUUUGACACAGAAACCGCUCUUUUUUCUUUUCCUUGGGGAAAAAAAACAGAGUCCAUAUCAAUCUCAUUAUUUUAUUAUUUUCCUGAGGAUUUUGUCAACGUGGCUGUUUCUCACUUCGACAGGUCAGCUAAUUCUGUUUCUUGUGGGGCCCACGUAUGUUUUUGAUCCCCAUUUUUAACCAUUUUUGCUCGUUUAAGCUAAACUUUUCAAAUGCCGCGUUUUUCAAAAUGCCGUCACUGACCUUGACAGCGGGAUGCGUUUUCCCGUUUAUGGCCUUGAGAGUGGAUGUUAGCGGGCCCCAUGCAGUGUGGGUAUUGUUGUCAUUAUGUUCGAGAAGUUUUUGUCACACCGGAUAAAGCGGAGACGUUCCGGUUCCUCUGAAAUUAGGGGCACUAACUAAUUUUAUAAUGACGAAAACAACCUUUCCCAUACUAAACAUUUGAUCUUAUUACAAGGGUAUUUUAGUGAUGAAACGUAUAUAAAAUCUAAACAUCGCAGCAAGGAAUUGAUUCAGGCGUUUGGACUUUUGAGGCGUUUGAUUCAUGGAAUUGACAGGUUUUGUUUUUUGGAAAAUUCUGAUUUUAUAACCCUAAUAAAGAGAAUUACCCAAAUGUCCUCUCUCCCAUAGGAAUACAAAACGAUUCCCAACAUGAAUCAAAAUUCAAAAGACAGAUUCCUUUUUGUACAAAGAGAGAAACGCAAGAUUUAAGGCCAAACAACAAAACAAGCAUGAUUGUCGUGUGAAAUGAACCACUUUUAUUUCCAACGUACCAUAUCUGUUUAGAAAUGUAGUUAUGAUUGUUUUUUAAAGUAUUUUUCGAUUGAAUUAUAUCAAAAUAAUAUUUUUUUUAUUUUUUAAAAAUUAUUUUUAAAUUAAUAUAUAAAAACAAUCCAAAACAUACAAAAUAAUUCCAACAUGAAUCAAAAGUUAAAAGACAGAUUCCUUUUUGUACAAAGAGAGAAACUCAAGAUUUAUGGCCAAACAAAGACAAAACAAGCAUGAUUGUCGUCUGAAAUGAACCACUUUUAUUUCCAACCUAGUAAAUCCAAAAGAAAGUUCUCUUCCUUUUUUAAUAUGCUAUUGCUAACCCAAAACUUGUUUUCAAAACUCUUUUACAUUUGUUAUUAAUUUGAGUAUCUUAACAUUUAGAUGCAUUUCUUAUUUUUAAUUUUUUUUAAUAUGUUAGCCUUACCAAUUGGAUUUAUUGGUUCACGGUAGUUAUGGCAUGAUUUUAGUCUGAAUAGCUAAAACCCGACUCGGUUUGGUUGUUUAGGCUACAUGCAAAGUUGGAUGAAGAGUUUGUUAUCUCGUUACUUGCGGCAACCUUAUUUUAUUUUCUAUUUUUUUUGUAUUUUAUGAAGUUGUAUUUUUUUUAAUAGGAUGUACAAAUUUUUUUUAUUGUUUAUAAAGGAUUUCUUAUGGUUUUAGUUAUGGAUUUGAAAUUUAAUUUGUAUUUUUAACCUUGAUUUUAUUUUUGUAAUAUUAAUUAGGAAAACAACCUCGGAGCUGAUCGAGUACUUGAGUUUAUAUGUUGGAUGGAGAAAGUCCUCCACCUAACUUGAUCGGUCAAGAGUAUAGACAAAUACCAAAUUUAAAUAUUUCCAAUUGGAAGCAAGUGAAUAAAAAACCUACCACAAUUUAAUUUAAUCGAAUAUCAUCCUUGCUCAAAAGAUAUGUCGUUUAAACCUUUUAGUUCUCUAAUUCUCUGCGUAUUUCUUUCAUUCUAAACAAUAAGACUAAAAUUCUAUAUUUUUUUUUAUAUAAAAGGUUAGUAAAGGUAUUGAUUAUAGUUUUAAAAUCCGGCCCAGCUCGGCGGGUCAACCCGGGACCGACCAAUCCAGGGCUGGAACCGGGCCGGAUUGAAAAAAAAAUAGGAGAAGAAAAAACUUAGUGUGACCCGGCUGACCCGGCAAGACCUAGUCAAAAACUUUACUAAAACGACGUUGUUUUGAUUUUUUUAUAUAAAAAAUAUUGAUCCGGGCGACCCGGUCAAAACCCGGAACACGAACCUUGGACCGAGCCGGGUCUAAAAACUAUGGUAUUAACUUUGUGUUUUCAAUUGUCAAAGAAAUUAAGGAAAAUGGCUUGAUAUAUUCGUGUCCAAUCUAUUUUUAUAUAUUUAAUUAUAUUUGAUCUAUCCUUAAAAUAUUAUUGUGUCUUUAAUCUAUUUUUCAUUUGAUCUAACAAAAAAUAUAUAUAUAUAACAUGACUCACAACAUAACCAAAUUCAUAUUGUAUAUAUCUCAAAUACUCCUCCUUAAAACAAAUUUGAAACAAAGGAAAUGCUAGAAAUUCUUCAAAACUUGUCACGUGUGGAAUAGCUUAAAUGUUUAAUUUAUCAAAACUAAGUAUUAAACCUCUGUUUAUCAAAUUCUAACUAGAAUGUCGAAUCUUCUUUUCUUCCUAUUCAUCUCUUAAUAAAGGUUUGGAUAUAUAACAUAUGAAAUUAGUCAUGUGCAAGUCAAAUAAUGUAUUUCCUUUAGUUUUGAUGGUACAAGUUUGACAAAAUGAUUGAUUAUAAAUAUACAACUUUUUUAAAAAUAAAUUAGAUGUAAUUAAUUGUAUAAAGAUAGAUUGAAUACUUUUUUUAUGUAUGAAUUCAUUUCGGAAUAAAUAUAUCUUAAAAUUUGAACAUAAUAUAAUAAACAAAAAACUUAAUUCACUUAAUAUAGAGGAAGCAAAUACCACAAUUAUGAGGUGAAAUCAAUAGAAAAAAAAAAGCAAGAAAGAUAAUUAAAUGAGUGAAGUUAUUGUUAUGUGUCAACUUUGAAAAAACUAAAAGGGUAUUUUAGAGUAUGUAGCGGUUGUUUUUUAAAAUGUUUUUCGCUCGGAAAUGCAUCAAAAUAAUAUUUUAUUAUUAUUUUUAAAAAAUUAUUUUUGAUAUCAGCACAUCAAAAUGAUCUAAAAAAAAAUUAAUUUAAAGCAAAAACAAACGUGUAUACAUUUCGCUUUUUCAAUGAGAAUACCCUUUACCUAUUAUUAACUUAUUCACAAUGUAACCCUUAACCAAUUUGAAGAAUCAGUUUUGUCCUUAAUAUUACUAAUUGUUUUCAAUAUUAUCCUUUCAUCUAGUUUAUUAAAGAUAAUUAACAAAAUAAUUGAAGGAGCUGUUAUUUUACUGUUUUACACAUGUAUAAUGCCAUUCUACUUUUUUUUUAUCUCUUAUUAUGCAAAUAUAAUAAAAUAGAUAAUAAAAAAGGGAACACAUCAAUAACAUAAAAUGAUAUUGAAAAUUUUAUCCUUACAUAAUAAACUAUAAUAAUAAUGAUAAUAUAAAAAAGACAUAAGAUCUAGUUGAUGAAAAAAGUAAUAAUUAAACAAGUAAUUUGUAUCCUUACAAAAAAUGAAAAAAGACAUAAGAUCCUAAUUGAUGAAAAUUUGAUGUGCUAAUUCAUAAGAAUAUUGAAAAGUAACAAUGAUAAUGAUAGUAUAAAAAAGACAUGAUCCUAGUCUAUGAAAAUUUAAUAGUUUCUUGAUUUUUAUUUUAUUUUAGUCCUAUAUCUUUAAAUCUUGCCCUCAAUAAAUUAGAAGCAAUUGGCUAUUAAUUUCGUUAAAAAAGAUCAAAUAAAAAAAUAGCACUACUUCAAUAAAAUAAAAAAGUGAAAUGUAAAUGGAUGAAGAAAAAAAGAAAGAGAAGAAGCUAUAGUGAACACACCAUAUUUUUUAGUUUCUUUUAAUUUAAUGCUACAUGUUCAAUGCAUAAUCACGCAACGAGAAUAAUGACAUUGAUUGGCAAGCCAAUAACCCAUAUAAAAACAAAACCAAAAAAAAAAAAUUCCAACCUAAAGAGAAGUAAGAAAAUGCAAUAAUCAAGUGAUAAUACGGAGAAUUUUCGAGACCCUUUUGAGUAUUGAAGGAGGAACAGAAAACAAACACACUUGCACUUCAUAUAGAAGAAACCAAAUGAUUCUUCAACACAGUUCUUGCACAAUGGACACCUCCUCCACAUUUUCCUCUUGGCAAGAUCCUUCAGCAUAACAUUUUCCCCUUUCUUUUUCAGUUUCUGAAAUUUGCUGCAAAUAUGUGAAUGCCAAGGAACCAUACACUCGACACAAAAGGCUCUUUUACAGAAUGGACAAUAAGAUUUCUCAACCUCCCCUCCUGCAUCAUUAACCAUCAAGGUUGAGCAGUCCAUACAAGGGCAGUACAAUUUCUUAGAACCAAGAAUCACAGACUCGCAUAGAGCAAUACCCCAGAUAUCAAAAACCUCCUUUGGUAAGGAUCACACGGCAGUAUUCUGGCUCUAAAACUCCUCGGCAAUCUGACACCGUAUAAGAUAUUAUUGCAAGAAUGUCGUCAAGCUUGGAAGCUACAUAUCUAAUAAUGCAUUCAGUGCAAUAAAAGUGUUCGCCACCUUUCAGACUGAAUGAGUCACACAAAUCCCUUCGCUCUACACCGAUUUCGAAAACAGACUAUCAGUUGCAGAAUCAGAACAUUCUCCAACCCUCAAGAAAUUCCCCAUCAUCAUAUUUGUUUUCUUCAUCUUCAGAGUCAACAACAUAGUUGUUGUCAGCAAGCUAGAGAAUCCCCUUUAAUCCCCCUAUUUCUGUUUUCUCUUGCUUUUUCUACGCUUGGACGACAACAGAACACCCAUCUUGUUUCCCCUGUUUUCCUUUCUUCUAGUCUUCAAUUCUCAAACUUCAUUUUCACCCUUUGUUUCUUCUUUUUCGAUAUCUGUGGUUAACAAAAGUAAAAAUCUGUGGGCAGCAUGGUGAUCUGCUGCUACCGAGUAGAAGCCAUGACAGCCAUCUUGGUAACUUGCUACCGAAGUUUAAGAGAUACAAAGAAUCCAUCUUCUUUUGGUUUAUGUUUUUUUUUUUUUUUUCAGUCCUAAUAUAACCUUGCCCACUUUUGCAACUAAUAACCUGAAAUUAGGGUAUUUAUUUUAGGCACUAGAGUCCAUCCUGACCGUCAAAUAAAAACAAAAUCACAUGGCAAUGUCAUAGAUCAAUGAAGAAGAAACAAUAGAGAAGGCAGGAGAAUCGAUCCUAGGUGGUUUCCAUUCUCCCUUCCACGAAUUCAAAACCGAGGAAAGCUUUCUAAACUCAUCAACCGCUUUUCUCUUAUUCCACCCAGUAUUUUUGUGAAAUAGUCUUGCUGACUUUCAUACUUUUGGCCUCAAAAGUAACUGAUUAAAACGCCGACUUCUUUUUAUGUCAUUAGCAGUCGCUCACGUGAAAAGGGGAUUCUUGGCCCUCGAAUUGGAGAUGACUUGCGCUCCAGAAGCCGGACGCAUAGGAUCAUAGGCCUGUCUUCUACGCAAAUUAACCAUAGGCAGCCAAACCAGUGCUGAAAAUUAAAUUGGCUAAAGGUUAUUCUAUUUCAUCACCCACAAGUAACCAACCAACCAAGAUAAAAUAUGAGGGGGUUUAAUAGAGUCAAGAGCAAGGAAAAAAUUACUUUAGGGUGAGGGAAAUUCCUCAGAGCAAGCAUUGUAACUGAUUUAAAAUGUCUAUACACAAACAAUCAGUACGUAUACAAGAUUCUAUACAAGCAAACCAUCUGAUAGUUUCCAGACAACUGAAUAAAAAAUUAUAACUACAACAUUAAAACUUAUUGUCUGUCACAUGAAACGGUCCUGUACACUUGAAACAAUUUUGCAAUUCAAAGAUGGUGGAUUAAGCUUAGGGACCAAUGCACGUCUCUCAGCAGAGAAUCCUAUCAUGCAGCAACGAGGAUUCACAUGCAGGAAGAUUCUACAUGAAAGGAGGGCUGGCACCAGUACUAAUGCCGUAGACUUGAGUACAGCUCUCCAAGAGCAGUAUAUAGUGGUUCUGCAGCUUUAGGUCUGUCCACAGUUCCAAGAAGAAUAUCAGCAGUAGAGAGAUAAGGAUCACCAUAGAACUUUAGAUUGGUUUCCGUCCUCGUUGCUAAAAUAUUUCCUUCAAGUGAUACUCCCACAAAUGCCCCUGAUACAUGCCAAACAAUUAAAAGAUCAAUUAUCCUAACUUUUCAAAUCGCAGCAUAGUUUUAGGAGCAAAGACCAAAAUAACUGACACCGUGAAGAAUAGGAGAGCAACCAAAUGCUAGGACAUCUCCCAAAACCAAUUUCAAUGGUCUGGACAUAGUAUAUAAUUUCCAUAAUGGAGUCACCGAAGAAGGUUUUAUUUAAAACAAUGGGCAACUACGGAUAAAGCAUAAUUCUAGGUAGCUAUACAUCCAGGGGUUCAGGGCAUCAGAAGUGAAAUUUUCCCAUUCCCCACACGAAGAUCAUUGAUUAUAUUUAGCUUCAUCCUAAAAAAUGAAUUCAGUCCCCUUGGGACUUCAACCCGAGAUUUUCCCUAAAGAUCACUGUCACAUCCAAAACAACAUUCAUCAAUCUGAAAAUGCAAACUGGAAAUUCGUAGAUUUAUCAACAUUUCUAACAUUCAUCAGCUAUGGGCAAACAGUAUGUUAAAAGUUAAGAUCUUCUCCUCACAACAAAAGCUAAAUAAUAUCUCAUUUCAAUCCUUAGUUUUAGUGCUACCAAAAGGCUUCUUGUCAUAAGAUAGAAUUUAAAGAUACAAAAAUCUCAAGGUCAGAUCACAAAAACUUAUCUCAAAAAUACCUUUGCUACAGCUGUAAGUAUAGCACAUGCCAGAUCCUCUAUCCCCAGCAUGAAGAUCUGCUUCCAGCACCCUCCCAACAGGGCCUGCUGCAGCACUGCAACCAGCCCCAAGAGAAAAAUGCAUGCGACUACAAAAUGUCUUCACAGCUUUGUAAUCAUGGAGGACAAUUAUAUAGUCCAUGAGCUCACCCCCAAUCUGGGAAACAAGGAGAGGAGUGACAAGAAUAAAAUUUCAGCAUCGUUCAAAUUGAAUUAAUUGAUUUUAUCUUAGAAAAAAAUGAUAACCAACUUUAUCGUAGAAGAGGUAAGAGACUUUUCUUGCUCCAAACACAAGCAUAUCUUGGAGUUCUUUAUGCUUCUGUUGCAUUUUCAAAGAUAAACCUAAUUUGUUGAAAAGUUUACCUGAGCACCCCAUCCUAAGCCAACCGAACAUAUUGCAGAUGGGGCAGACCAUGAUCCAUCAGAUCUCCGAGCAAUGACUAAACCAGUGCCAAGUUUGUAAGCAACUAUUGCACCAGCUUUGACAACUGUUAAGAUUGCCAAGCCUUUGGCUCCUUUCAGAAUUGCUAAGGGGAUGGACUUCUCAGGAUUCAGCCUAGAAACCUGACCAUUUCAGAAAGCAUAAGCCCAACUGGUUCCUUAAUGAAGAAGAAUAAUGAACAACUAUAAUUGAAUAACCAACUUUUUUGGCUAGUUGACAAUAACAUGAUGGGAUAAUGUCAACGGGAAAACAUAAAUAAUAUGCUGAAUCUUCCUCCACUAGUCUAGAAUUGCAUAAUAAGACACUGUCAACAGAGAAAUGUAACUCUACCACCAAAUCUAGGGUUGACAUGCAAUUAGUGAUUAAAAUGUAAGGCCUGAGACCAAGAAUCAGGAAAUUGAACAUCUUUCAAACAUAAAGAAGAACGAAAACAAGCAGAAAACACACCUGCCAAUAGCUUCUCAACGUAUUGGAUGCUUUGUAUACCUCAUGUUCCAUGGAGAAACCAACUGGCAGGUUUAACCAUCCUCUCGUGCAAGUCCAAUCCACGACAUCAUGUUUCGCCACUUGCAUAGCAUUGCUAAUGGUAUUAAUAAGAACACCUUGCAAAGGAUCAAGCCUAUCAUAGCAGGUAUCACAAACCCUUUGUGGAUUCCUCUCCCUAAACUUAACAGGUAACAAACACCGUCCUUUAGUACAUGUUCUGCAAAAAACCCCACCACAAAAACGACAAUGAUGCCUUCCACGAGAAAUUGCUGUAAAGGGAGCAGUACACUGCAUACAAACUGUAGUAGAACUAUCUGGCAACCACUCAGGCGGUUCAGCUUCCAAGACAUCUUUGUACACGGUGGUAUAAUUUGGCUCCAGAAGUGGCGGGGCACUCGGAAUAUAAACAGAGGAGUGCAAAUACGUGUCCCCAUUCUUCUCCGAUUCCAGAAAGGAAACAUUUGAACUGGGCAUUCGACCACCACCACCACCACCACCACCACCACCAUCUUUAUUCUGGCCAGUUAAAAUGGCAACUAUCCCACUUAAUACAUUUUUCAAGUUGACCUCUGGAAGCCUAUUGAAAUUUGCAGGAAAACGAGGAUCGUCAUCGUCAUCAGUUGAACCAUCAAGGUAAUCCCGUUUCGGCACCGGCCAUAAGGGAUCAUCGAUAUAGUCCUCAACAUUAGGGUAUGCAUUCUUCUCCUUUUCUACCUUACAGAAUUGAACUUUCCCUUCAAAACUCGCCAUUCGCAGCAGCUAAACCACGUAAAAACUGAUUUCACAACCAAGAAAAAAAUAUAUUAAUAAUAAUUCGAAGGAGCUGAAUCCGUUAACACGAAGAAUAAUUUAGUUUUACGAAAACGAACAGCAUAAGAUUUGAUUCUAAAUCAUUAGGGUUUUUCGUUACCUUUAUUCAAUAUUGGGAGAAUUGAAACGCAAGCGUACCUUGCGAUAAGUCUGAUCCAAGCUUUGAGAUUUUCACCUUCUCUUUUUUCAAUCGUCGACGGAAGACAACCACAAGCAAAAGGAAGGAACGGAGGAAGGGAUGAUUGGAUUUGAUAGAGAAGAACCAUACGACACUCGGUAUUGAUAUUUAUUAUUACAUAUAUUAGUUAUUGUUUGGGCUUUGGGACUCGUCAAUGACCGUUCCCUAUGGGCUGAAACUUUUCUAUUUGCUGGCUUCGAUUUUAUUGAUUAAGAUACUGUUGGAAAAUAUGAAUAAUUCAGUUGUUUUUUUUAAGUAUUUAAAAAUAUAUUAAAAUAAUAUUUUUUUAUUUUUUAAAAAUAAUUUUUAAUAUUAGUACAUUAAAAUAAUUUAAAAAUACUAAAAAAAUAUUAAUUUGAAGUAAAGAAAAAAUAAAAAAAUUUCAAAUUUUUUCAAAAGCAUUUUUAAAACAAAAAAAUAAUCACAGUUAUAAGUUUUGAAUAUGAACAUUUUGCUAUUGAAUAAUUAGAAGUGUGUUAGUAAUUGUUUUUAAAAAUUUUUUAGUUUAAAAUAUAUUAAAAUAAUAUUUUUUUUAUUUUAAAAAAAUUAUUUUUGACAUCAAUAUAUCAAAACGAUGUGAAAAUAAUAAAAAAAUAAUUUAAAAUAAAAAAAUAAAAUAAAUAAUUUUUUCAAAAACACUUUUAAAAUAUAAAAAUAAAUAAAUUUAUAAUUAAUAAUAAUAAACUUGUAAUUAAUGAGAAUCAUAAUACUAACAAAUAUUCUUACAAAGUUUAUUUAUUAGAAUAUCUUAUUCAUUGAAAGAAAGGAUCUCAAUCAUCCAAUAACUUAUUUUUUUCUUAAAAAUAAUAAUUUUAAACCAUAAAACUUCUAAACAAAGGCAAAAGGUAGGAUAAAGAUCAAUCGAACAAAUUGAAGAAAGAAAUGUGUGGGAAUAGUCAUCUUUUUUAUAAUAUUUUAGUUUCAUCAAAACAUUUAAUUAUAAUCUUAUACAUUUAACCAAUAUCAGAUAUUAAUACAAACUAAACGUAUUCUUUUCAUAUAAUUAUGUAAAUCAUAACCAAGUUAUACCACUAAAUCAGUUUAGCUUAUCAAGAACUUCUGCUUUAAAUAAAAUUAAAAUCAUUUUAUUUUAAUAGAUCAUAACUCCUAGCUAUUUGGUUUUUUCUAGUCUUGUUGGUUGAUUACAUUGUUUAUCAUUAAUUUCAAUUUUUUUUCCUUUUGAACAUGAAUAAUUAUUAUUUGUAUUUGGUUGAUAAUUGAAUGUUUAUUUAUUUUUUUGUAUGUAAACAUACACAGAAACAUAUAAAAGAAUCCUUUCACGCUUGGAAAGUUAUCAAUCAAGAAAAAAAUAAUCUUUCACCCAUGCUCUGAUUUCAUUCAACAAAAAUAGGGGAUAAUAGAUGUACAGACAGCCCACUUUAAUGGAUUUUGAGGGACGGUGUAGGAAAAAAAAUAUGUUCAAAUCCACUUGAAUGAAUUUGAAGGUUAGGAAUGAUGACGAUGAUUUUUUAGUGUUUGGAUUGGUGUGGUUUGAUAAAAUCUAAAAUUGAAAAAUAAUUUUAAUUUUUAUAAAUAUUUUGAUUGGUAUUGUGGUUGCUUUUGUGGUUGUAGUUAAAAAAAACAGUUUAAUAAAAAGUAUUUUUUGUGAUGUUUAUUUUAAAAAGUGAGGUGUUUGGUUAAAACUGUGGUUAAAAAAAAAUAAUAAUUUCUUAUGUUUGGUUAAUAUGUUUUUUGUUUGAUGUUUGAUUAUAAAAUUACUUAAAAGGACACACACACACACACACACACACACACACACACACACACACACACACACACACACACACACAUAUAUAUAUAUAUAUAUAUAUAUAUAUAUAUAUAUAUAUAUAUAUAUAUAUAUAUAUAAUAUCAGGUAAAAAGUCAUCUGAAAUUAAAUUGGGAUUGCGAUCAUACUCAGAAAAAACCGCAUUAUCUUGCGAUUUCCUUCUAAUAUAGUUAUGUAAUGCCAUUGAUGCAACUACAAUCUCAACUUGCGUUUUGUAUGGAUAAGCAGACAUGCUUUGCAAAAUUCUCCACCUGUUUCCAUACUCCAAAAAAACGCUUUAUCACGUUACAUAGUGAUAAGUGUGCACGAUUAAACACUUCUUCCCGACCACUUGGUUGUCCACGACGCCUAAAUUCUUGUAAGUGAUACAUCUCGCCUUUGUAGGGACCCAAAUACUCAUACUCAUUGGGAUAUCCAGCAUCAACCAAAUAAGAACAACAUGGUAAUUUUUAACAAAACUAAAAAAACAAAUUAUAUGCCUUCAAUUACCAAGUCUUUAAUUUAUUUAAAAUCACAACCUUUUGGUGAUUUUGAAAAUUUUAUACUGCUAUUAUCAAUAACCUCAAGAAAAAUACAUGUAUCGUGUGCCCUGUCUUCCCAUCCUGCCUACAUAAACAUGAAUUGCAUGUCGAAACUACAAGCGGCCAUGACAUUUUGUGUUGGUGUACACCUUUUCUUCAAAUAAAUGGAAUUUGAUUAUCAGAUGAUAUACAUGCACAAACAUGUGUGUCAUCAAUUGCACCGACACAAUUCUACAGGCCAUAAAAAAAUUAAGUAAUCAUAAACAUUUAUAAAAUAUUUCAUACUCAUUUAAACAACUUAAUUAAACAAAAAUUCAUCUUACGUUGAAAUGUGGCAUAUAUCUUGGAUUCAUUGCAAUUUCUCUUGAUGUGCUCGUAAAUUGUGGAUCUAUUGGUUUUAUGACUUCUACAGUAAACAAACAUAAUGAUUUAAGCACUUCUUUGAAACAUCUACUAAUAGUUUCAUCUGAAUGUUGAAAUCUCUCAUGCACUUCUCUAUUUGACGCCCCAACUGCUAUCGUAAAUAGAAACAUUGCCAUCUUUUCAAUAACGCUAAUUCUUCUUGAAGGUUUUAAGUCAUGGUGUGUUUCUAAAUCAUUGCACAGACUCAACAAAGUGGUUGAGUUCAUCCUGAACAUGUUAACACACCGUUCUCAAUGACCUCUUAAAACUUCAUUCAACCAACGCAUCCUUAUGUUGUACGAAACAAUACAUGGUUCUUUAUGCAUAUAAUUAAUAUAAUACAUGUUUAUAGCUCCAGUCGUGCAUAUAAUUAAUUUAUUCAUAUCAAAUUGCCUCCUUAAAUUAAGAGUUAAUUUAAUUAAAUUUGAAGACAAAGAAAAGGCAAGAACUUACUGUUCUCUCUCUCCUAUGAGUUUUCCCAGUUGGUGUUUGUCUGCUGUUUUUUUCUGCAAACCAAAACAAUGAAGACCUCUCGGCACAAUUUAUGAGUGUGAAGGUGAUAGAUCUUCAUUUGAAAGAAGAAGGGAAUAUAGGGGAACAUGGCAAAUGAUCUGCUGUGGUUUUAGGAAAUUUUUUUCCAGAUAUGAACAAUGAAGCCUCUCGGAUUGUUUUGGGAAAUAUUUUUGCAAUAGUUUCGAUGUCUUUUGACAGGAGACGAGAGAAGGGAACAGAGGGGAAAAGGAUGAAAAUUUUAGGAAAUAAAGAUAGGAUUUUUCAAGAUCUAAAAAUGGAGCCUUUGGAUAAUUUUUGUUGUGGUUGUCUUUUGGCAACAAACGAGAGAAGGGAACAGAGGAAAACAAGGAUGAAAUUUUUUGAAAAUAAGGGCAGGAUUUUUCAAGAUCUAACAAUGUAGACUCUCGGAUUGUUUUGGAUAAUUUUUGUUGUGGUUGUCUUUUGGCAUCAGAUGAGAGAAGCGAAGAGAGGGGAACAAGAACGAAAAUUUAGAAAAUGACAGGAUUUUUCCAGAUCGAUCUCAAUGGAGACGAGAGCUGAUCGAUGAAGAUGGGUUGAGGGGUUGUUUUGGGAAAUUAUUUGCAAUGGUAAUAUGCUAUCGGUGAGAGAGAAAAGACGAGAAAAAAAGCAAUUGGAAAUUGCUUAUCGCAAACUGAGGUUGGUUGGACCUCAGUUUGUGGUGACAUCCUUGAAAAUUAAAAGUGUGGUUAAUAUUAACCAAACGGGUGUAACUCACGUUUGCUUGCAACCGCA